CUGCUUGUAGCUCAGGUGGUUAGAGCGCACCCCUGAUAAGGGUGAGGUCGGUGGUUCAAGUCCACUCAGGCCUACCA
rnacentral:tRNA from 1 species